AGCCGAAGCCACAUCCGCAGCCGAAGCCACAUCCGCAGCCGAAACCACAUCCGCAGCCGAAACCACAUCCGCAGCCGCAGCCACAUCCGCCUCCGCAGCCACAUCCGCAGCCGCAUCCGCAGCCGAAACCACAUCCGCAGCCGCAGCCACAUCCGCCUCCGCAGCCACAUCCGCAGCCGCAUCCGCAGCCGAAGCCACAUCCGCAGCCAAAGCCGCAGCCGCUUCCGCAGCUGCAGCCGAAGCCGCAGCCAAAGCCACAGCCGCAGUUGCAGCCGAAGCCACAUCCACAUCAGCAUUAGCAUCACCAUCAGUGCAAGGAGCCCUGUCAUCCACCUCCAAUAGUCUGCCCACUGAAGUGCCAUGAGCCUUGCCCACCUCAUCCAUGCCCACCUCCAGUGAGCCAGCAGAAAUGCCCUCCUGGACCACCAUGCCCACCAUGCGAGCACAAGUGUCCACCCAAGUGGAAGUACAGCACCAGAUUUCAUCUGGACCAAGAAACAAGAUCCAAGCUCUUCCAUUGUCCUCCCUUUGGCCAUGGUGAUGGACUGCAUCUUCCUUAACCUCCCCCCUCAACCGACAGCUGACAGAGGAAAGGCUUGCUUCCUGAAGCUGACACCGCAUUGUUGGAAGAAGAGCAGCAGAAUCAUCGCUUGAUCUCUCUGUGCUAUGUGCCCGUCUGUAAUCCACGUUGUGAUCUCUACCCGCAGGUACCACCUAGUUCCUAAGACUUCUCGUGAGAAGAAUGCUGUGAAAGCACCUACUCCAUCCCCAGACAUUGCUGUUCCUUCCAGGAUUCCUGAAGGGCGUCUCUUUCCUAAUGGUGAUCCUGGUUACUCCACUGUGGAAUCUCAGAGGACUAGGCAGGAACAGCGGUCCUCAUCUUGGUUCUCUGAGAGAAUGAGAAAGAGAUCAGGAGCAGGACUCAGUCUAAAGAAGUUCCUACCUCUUCAGACACCCAGGUUAUGCCCCUGGUCUUUUUCUGAACCGCAUCAGCCCAGUCAAGAUAGAAACACAGCAGAUGCUGCACUGUCUUCUUUCAGGAAAGAGCACAAGCUUGAAAUCUUCCCUCAGGCAGUGGAGAAGGAAGACCUCUCUUACUAGUAAAAAGAUGUGGAUUCUUCAAGUGCCUUCAAACUGGCUGCUUCUAACUAGCAAUGAUAACAGCUAGAAGAAAGAGAGGAGCAGGGCGGGGGUCUUGGCGAGGGAGACCUUAGUCUACACACUGCCAUUCUUUAUAAGAUCGGGAGCGUUUUUGAUAUUAUUGACCAGUUAUUUUGAGUAGUUAUUCAUAAGUAUUAGUUUUUCUAACUUUUAGAGCUGACAUAUAUAAUUUUUUAAUUGGAAGAUAAUUGCUUUACUACGUUCUGUUGGUUUCUACCAUGCAACAAUGUGGAUCAGCUCUAAGUACACAUAUAUCUCCUCCACCGUGAGCCGCACGUGCACCCCACUGCUCCCCAUCCCU
ensembl:lncRNA